UGGGGAAUAUUGCACAAUGGGCGCAAGCCUGAUGCAGCCAUGCCGCGUGUGUGAAGAAGGCCUCCGGGUUGUAAAGCACUUUCAGCGAGGAGGAAGGUGGUGAGCUUAAUACGCUCAUCAAUUGACGUUACUCGCAGAAGAAGCACCGGCUAACUCCGUGCCAGCAGCCGCGGUAAUACGGAGGGUGCAAGCGUUAAUCGGAAUUACUGGGCGUAAAGCGCACGCAGGCGGUUUGUUAAGUCAGAUGUGAAAUCCCCGGGCUCAACCUGGGAACUGCAUUUGAAACUGGCAAGCUAGAGUCUCGUAGAGGGGGGUAGAAUUCCAGGUGUAGCGGUGAAAUGCGUAGAGAUCUGGAGGAAUACCGGUGGCGAAGGCGGCCCCCUGGACGAAGACUGACGCUCAGGUGCGAAAAGCGUGGGGAGCAAAACAGGAUUAGAUACCCUGGUAGUCCACGCUGUAAACGAUGUCGAUUUUGGAGGUUGUGCCCUUGAGGCGUGGCUUCCGGAGCUAACGCGUUAAAUCGACCGCCUGGGGAGUACGGCCGCAAGGUUAAAACUUAAAUGAAUUGACGGGGUC
rnacentral:rRNA from 1 species